UGUGAAAUCCCCGGGCUCAACCUGGGAACUGCAUCUGAUACUGGCAAGCUUGAGUCUCGUAGAGGGGGGUAGAAUUCCAGGUGUAGCGGUGAAAUGCGUAGAGAUCUGGAGGAAUACCGGUGGCGAAGGCGGCCCCCUGGACGAAGACUGACGCUCAGGUGCGAAAGCGUGGGGAGCAAACAGGAUUAGAUACCCUGGUAGUCCACGCCGUAAACGAUGUCGACUUGGAGGUUGUGCCCUUGAGGCGUGGCUUCCGGAGCUAACGCGUUAAGUCGACCGCCUGGGGAGUACGGCCGCAAGGUUAAAACUCAAAUGAAUUGACGGGGGCCCGCACAAGCGGUGGAGCAUGUGGUUUAAUUCGAUGCAACGCGAAGAACCUUACCUGGUCUUGACAUCCACGGAAGUUUUCAGAGAUGAGAAUGUGCCUUCGGGAACCGUGAGACAGGUGCUGCAUGGCUGUCGUCAGCUCGUGUUGUGAAAUGUUGGGUUAAGUCCCGCAACGAGCGCAACCCUUAUCCUUUGUUGCCAGCGGUCCGGCCGGGAACUCAAAGGAGACUGCCAGUGAUAAACUGGAGGAAGGUGGGGAUGACGUCAAGUCAUCAUGGCCCUUACGACCAGGGCUACACACGUGCUACAAUGGCGCAUACAAAGAGAAGCGACCUCGCGAGAGCAAGCGGACCUCAUAAAGUGCGUCGUAGUCCGGAUUGGAGUCUGCAACUCGACUCCAUGAAGUCGGAAUCGCUAGUAAUCGUGGAUCAGAAUGCCACGGUGAAUACGUUCCCGGGCCUUGUACACACCGCCCGUCACACCAUGGGAGUGGGUUGCAAAAGAAGUAGGUAGCUUAACCUUCGGGAGGGCGCUUACCACUUUGUGAUUCAUGACUGGGGUGAAGUCGUAACAAGGUAACCGUAGGGGAACCUGCGGUUGGAUCACCUCCUUACCUUAAAGAAGC
rnacentral:rRNA from 1 species